UUUAAUUCGAUGCAAAGCGAAGAACCUUACCAGGGCUUGACAUGCCGCGAAUCCUCUUGAAAGAGAGGGUUGCCCUCGGGAACGCGGACACAGGUGGUGCAUGGCCCACGUAUCACUUAGAUGACUUGAGGGA
rnacentral:ncRNA from 1 species